GAUGAACGCUGGCGGCGUGCCUAAUACAUGCAAGUCGAGCGAACGGACGAGAAGCUUGCUUCUCUGAUGUUAGCGGCGGACGGGUGAGUAACACGUGGAUAACCUACCUAUAAGACUGGGAUAACUUCGGGAAACCGGAGCUAAUACCGGAUGAUAUUCUGAACCGCAUGGUUCAAUAGUGAAAGACGGUCUUGCUGUCACUUAUAGAUGGAUCCGCGCUGCAUUAGCUAGUUGGUACGGUAACGGCUUACCACGGCAACGAUGCAUAGCCGACGUGAGAGGGGGAUAGGCCGCACGAGAGCUGAGACGGGCACAAGGCGACUGCGAGAGGCAGCAGAAGGGAAUCGUCCGCAGUAGGCGAAGGCCUGGCGGAGCAACGCCACGUGAGAUGUAAAAGUCCUCGGAUCGUGAAACUCUGUUAUGAGGGAAGAACAUAUGUGUAAGUUACUGUGCACAGCUUGACGGUAACUAGUCAGAAAGCCACGGCUAACUACGUG
rnacentral:rRNA from 1 species